GGACGAACGCUGGCGGCGUGCCUAAUACAUGCAAGUUGAGCGAUGAAGAUUGGUGCUUGCACCAAUUUGAAGAGCAGCGAACGGGUGAGUAACGCGUGGGGAAUCUGCCUUUGAGCGGGGGACAACAUUUGGAAACGAAUGCUAAUACCGCAUAACAACUUUAAACAUAAGUUUUAAGUUUGAAAGAUGCAAUUGCAUCACUCAAAGAUGAUCCCGCGUUGUAUUAGCUAGUUGGUGAGGUAAAGGCUCACCAAGGCGAUGAUACAUAGCCGACCUGAGAGGGUGAUCGGCCACAUUGGGACUGAGACACGGCCCAAACUCCUACGGGAGGCAGCAGUAGGGAAUCUUCGGCAAUGGACGAAAGUCUGACCGAGCAACGCCGCGUGAGUGAAGAAGGUUUUCGGAUCGUAAAACUCUGUUGGUAGAGAAGAACGUUGGUGAGAGUGGAAAGCUCAUCAAGUGACGGUAACUACCCAGAAAGGGACGGCUAACUACGUGCCAGCAGCCGCGGUAAUACGUAGGUCCCGAGCGUUGUCCGGAUUUAUUGGGCGUAAAGCGAGCGCAGGUGGUUUAUUAAGUCUGGUGUAAAAGGCAGUGGCUCAACCAUUGUAUGCAUUGGAAACUGGUAGACUGAG
rnacentral:rRNA from 2 species